rnacentral:rRNA from 1 species
AACGAACGCUGGCGGCAUGCCUAACACAUGCAAGUCGAACGAGACCUUCGGGUCUAGUGGCGCACGGGUGCGUAACGCGUGGGAACCUGCCCUUAGGUUCGGAAUAACUCCCCGAAAGGGGUGCUAAUACCGGAUAAUGUCUUCGGACCAAAGAUUUAUCGCCUUUGGAUGGGCCCGCGUUGGAUUAGCUAGUUGGUAGGGUAAAAGCCUACCAAGGCGACGAUCCAUAGCUGGUCUGAGAGGAUGAUCAGCCACGCUGGGACUGAGACACGGCCCAGACUCCUACGGGAGGGAGCAGUGGGGAAUAUUGGACAAGGGGGGAAAGCCUGGUACAGCAAUGCCGCGGGAGUGAUGAAGGCCUUAGGGUUGUAAAGCUCUUUUAGCCGGGAUGAUAAUGACAGUACCGGGAGAAGAAGCUCCGGCUAACUCCGUG